rnacentral:lncRNA from 1 species
GAAAGUUAAAGACAAAAAAGAAUCAAAUGUUUGGGGAUCAAUACUAACAUCACAUGUUCUUAUAAAGAGUGGUUCAGUGAUAUGGUAGAAAUAGAAGCCAAAUUAUAGUUGGUAAAUCCACAGACAGAAAGUUAGAAAAAGAAAAUGACCUUAAGUGUGGGCUGAUUUGUCAAGAAAUUGGCUAAGAAAGGAAAAUAAGAACAUAAAUAGUCUUGAGAAGGUAAAUUUUAGGGUUGUCUAUUGGCUUGCUAAUU